GAUGAAGAACGUAGCGAAAUGCGAUACUUGGUGUGAAUUGCAGAAUCCCGUGAACCAUCGAGUCUUUGAACGCAAGUUGCGCCUCAAGCCAUUAGGUUGAGGGCACGUCUUCCUGGGCGUCACAUAUCGUUGCCUGAUGCCAGUUUCCUCGUGAUGGGUGACUGUGCAGGGCGAAUGAUGGCUUCCCGUGAGCAUUGUUGCCUCAUGGUUGGUUGAAAAUUGAGUCCUUGGUAGGGAGCGCCGUGAUAGAUGGUGGUUGAGUGACGAACGAGACCCAAUCAUGUGAGACCCCUACCGAAUUUGGCCUUCAUGACCCACAUGCGUCUUUGGAACGCUCAUGACGAGACCUCAGGUCAGGCGGGGCUACCCGCUGAGAUUAAGCAUAUCAAUAAGCGGAGGA
rnacentral:misc_RNA from 1 species